ACCACGCAGGGGAGUGGCAGACGGGUGAGUAACGCGUGGGAACAUACCCUUUCCUGCGGAAUAGCUCCGGGAAACUGGAAUUAAUACCGCAUACGCCCUACGGGGGAAAGAUUUAUCGGGGAAGGAUUGGCCCGCGUUGGAUUAGCUAGUUGGUGGGGUAAAGGCCUACCAAGGCGACGAUCCAUAGCUGGUCUGAGAGGAUGAUCAGCCACAUUGGGACUGAGACACGGCCCAAACUCCUACGGGAGGCAGCAGUGGGGAAUAUUGGACAAUGGGCGCAAGCCUGAUCCAGCCAUGCCGCGUGAGUGAUGAAGGCCUUAGGGUUGUAAAGCUCUUUCACCGAUGAAGAUAAUGACGGUAGUCGGAGAAGAAGCCCCGGCUAACUUCGUGCCAGCAGCCGCGGUAAUACGAAGGGGGCUAGCGUUGUUCGGAAUUACUGGGCGUAAAGCGCACGUAGGCGGAUAUUUAAGUCAGGGGUGAAAUCCCGCAGCUCAACUGCGGAACUGCCUUUGAUACUGGGUAUCUUGAGUAUGGAAGAGUAAGUGGAAUUCCGAGUGUAGAGGUGAAUUCGUAGAUAUUCGAGGAACACAGUGGCGAAGCGGCUUACUGGUCCAUUACUGACGCUGAGUGCGAAGCGUGGGAGCAACAGAUUAAU
rnacentral:rRNA from 1 species